rnacentral:rRNA from 1 species
UGCCGGAUGCUCCAGUUGGAUGCAUGUCCUUCUGGGAAAGAUUCAUCGGUAUGGGAUGGGGUCGCGUCCUAUCAGCUUGAUGGCGGGGUAACGGCCCACCAUGGCUUCGACGGGUAGCCGGCCUGAGAGGGCGACCGGCCACAUUGGGACUGAGAUACGGCCCAGACUCCUACGGGAGGCAGCAGUGGGGAAUAUUGCACAAUGGGCGCAAGCCUGAUGCAGCGACGCCGCGUGCGGGAUGACGGCCUUCGGGUUGUAAACCGCUUUUGACUGGGAGCAAGCCCUUCGGGGUGAGUGUACCUUUCGAAUAAGCACCGGCUAACUACGUGCCAGCAGCCGCGGUAAUACGUAGGGUGCAAGCGUUAUCCGGAAUUAUUGGGCGUAAAGGGCUCGUAGGCGGUUCGUCGCGUCCGGUGUGAAAGUCCAUCGCUUAACGGUGGAUCCGCGCCGGGUACGGGCGG